rnacentral:lncRNA from 1 species
UAAAGUUCAAAAACCUCUUUUUCAUUAAAAAGUAUGAUUUCUAUAUUGUUGGGUGUUGAUGAUCAUGUUAUUGAUAUUGGAUGAUUCCUAAGAUUGAAUCCUUAUAUGUUUCUUUGAAUCUCAUGAUAUCAUAUGAGUUAGAAACAUGUAAAUUGGGUUGUUCAUGAUGUAUAAUUUGAUGAUUUCACCUAUGCUUAAGAUGUGCAUGUAAGGUAUUUGGUAAAAUGCCUAAG